AUUAAGGAGUUGAUUUGGAAGUGAUUUUAGAGGCUGUUUGGUUAUAUGUAGUUACAACUAUAUUAUAGUUGUAACUGUAUAUAGAUCUAAAUUUGAUAUUUGAUUUUAGAAUUAAUUUCAUACAUGUUCCUAUAAAUAUAGUGAAUUAUAAAUAUAUUCCUACAAAAUUCAACUUUUAUAUGUUGUCCACUUGUCCCUACAAAACUCCUAAUAUUUUCAAAUAUGACCCUUUGGUUUGUUACCGUUAAAGCAUUGGUUAUUUUAUAAGUGAAAUAAUUUUUUUUGCCAUCACAAGUAUGUCCCUCCAAAAAUUCCAACCCUUAAUUAAAAAAGGAUAAAAAUGUCAAUUUACCUCAUUAACUAACUAAGGUCAAGUAUUUUACCUAUGGUUAAUUAUUUUUUUCUAACGGAGAGGCAUAUUUGAAAACAUUAGGACUUUCACAAAACAACAUAUGAAAAUUAAACUUAAUAUAAAUAUAUUUGUAAUUCACUAUAUUUACAAAGAUCUGUAUGCAAUUAAUCCUUAAUUUUAUAUAUUUGAAAUCUAACCAAUCAAAUUUCAAGAAGCCUCAUAAAGUGCUUUCUUAGGAGUUUUUUUUUUUUUUUUUUUUUUGAGAGAGAUAGGUAGCACGCUACUCGCUUCGUUUAUUUCAUUUAGAAA
rnacentral:lncRNA from 1 species